rfam:Corynebacterium glutamicum ATCC 13032 DNA, complete genome.
ACUCGGGCACGAUCUGGCAUCCGCUGGAACCGACCUGAAGUUUCAAUCCUGAGGGA